rnacentral:rRNA from 1 species
AGAGUUUGAUCCUGGCUCAGGACGAACGUUGGCGGUGCGCUUAAUGCAUGCAAGUCGAGGGAGAACCAUUCGAUCCGUAAGGACUGGAUGGGGAAACCGGCGAACGGGUGCGUAACACGUGAGGAACCUGCCCCGAAGACCGGGAUAGCCCGAGGAAACUCGGAUUAAUACCGGAUACCCUCUUUGGACCACAUGGUCUGCUGAGGAAAUGGUCCGCCGCUUCGGGAUGGCCUCGCGGCCUAUCAGCUUGUUGGUGAGGUAACGGCUCACCAAGGCAUCGAUGGGUAGCUGGUCUGAGAGGAUGAUCAGCCACACUGGAACUGAGACACGGUCCAGACUCCUACGGGAGGCAGCAGUCGGGAAUCUUGCACAAUGGGCGAAAGCCUGAUGCAGCAACGCCGCGUGAGGGAUGAAGGCCCUCGGGUCGUAAACCUCUGUCGGAAGGGAAGAAAGUAUUUUGGGCUAAUACCCCAGAGUAUCGACGGUACCUUCAAAGGAAGCGCCGGCUAACUCCGUGCCAGCAGCCGCGGUAAUACGGAGGGCGCGAGCGUUAUUCGGAAUCAUUGGGCGUAAAGCGCGUGUAGGCGGCUGGGCAAGUCGGAUGUGAAAGCCCGGGGCUCAACCCCGGAAUUGCAUACGAAACUGCUCAGCUAGAGUCUCGGAGAGGAGGGCGGAAUUCCCGGUGUAGAGGUGAAAUUC